AUGCAUGGUUACACGAAGCUGGUCGUCUGGCUACUGCUCCUGAGCAUCUUGUCAUCCUACUUUGCUCAUGGAAUCAGUGAUUCUAUGUCUAACAUUCAAUGCUUGAAGGAUCUCAAACAAUCGUUGAUUGAUCCUAAUGGUAGACUCAAACCCUCAUGGAAUUUUACCGUCGUCGACCGCGCUGAUGUUUACAGUGACGCCAUAUGCUCGUUCACCUGCGUGGUAUGCUGGAGCUCUGGUGAUAGCAGGGUUCUCAGUUUGAGUCUUGGGAAACUAGGACUUGAAUGUCCAUUCCCUCGAGGCCUCGAGCUUUGCACCUCCAUGACCACUCUGGACCUGUCAAACAACAACUUUUCAGGGCCUCUCCUGGAACACAUCUCGCAGCAGAUGACGUACAUAACCUACCUGGACCUCUCGAACAACAGUUUCUCAGGCGUGAUCCCUGCGAGCAUCGCGAACAUGACGUACCUGAGCACCCUCGCCCUUCAUCACAACCAGUUCGACAGCGAAAUUCCGGUGCAGCUGGGCAACACUUCGCGGCUCAUUUCGUUCAAUGUCGCCGACAACUCACUAUCAAGUCCUGUCCCAGACUCUGCAGCGCUUCCCGCCAGCCAACUUCACGGGCAAUCCAGGGCUCUGCGGGGUGCCGCUGGACAAGAAGUGCAAGAAGAGGUUUAG
rnacentral:rRNA from 1 species